rnacentral:piRNA from 1 species
GUUUGGCAGCUGUUGGCUUAGUUGGAGACU